GACGAACGCUGGCGGCGCGCUUAAUACAUGCAAGUCGAGCGAGAACCGGUCCUUGGGACCGGGGACGAGCGGCGAACGGGUGAGUAACACGUGAGUAAUCCACCCUCGGCACCGGAAUAGCCCGGGGAAACCCGGAUUAAUGCCGGAUGGCCCAUCUGCCCUCGCGGGGCGGGCGUGGAAAAGGUAGCUUCGGCCUCCGGCCGAGGACGAGCUCGCGGCGGAUUAGCUUGUUGGUGGGGUAAAGGCCCACCAAGGCGACGAUCCGUAGCUGGUCUGAGAGGACGAUCAGCCACACUGGGACUGAGACACGGCCCAGACUCCUACGGGAGGCAGCAGUAGGGAAUCUUGCGCAAUGGGCGAAGCCUGACGCAGCGACGCCGCGUGAGGGAAGAAGGC
rnacentral:rRNA from 1 species